AUUCCAGCUCCAAUAGCGUAUAUUUAAGUUGUUGCAGUUAAAAAGCUCGUAGUUGGAUUUCGGUUGAGAGCGGCCGGUCCGCCGUUUGGUGUGCACUGGCUGGUUUCAGCUUCCUGCAGAGGACGCGCUCUGGGCUUAAUCGUCUGGACGUGGAGUCUGCGUGGUUACUUUGAAAAAAUUAGAGUGUUCAAAGCGGGCUUACGCUUGAAUAUUUCAGCAUGGAAUAACACUAUAGGACUCCUGUCCUAUUUCGUUGGCCUCGGGACGGGAGUAAUGAUUAAGAGGAACAGUUGGGGGCAUUCGUAUUUCAAUGUCAGAGGUGUAAUUCUCGGAUUUUUGAAAGACGAACUUCUGCGAAAGCAUUUGCCAAGGGUGUUUUCAUUA
rnacentral:rRNA from 1 species